rnacentral:ncRNA from 1 species
AAUCGCGAGGUUGUGGCUAAAGGAAGUGUGAAACAAAAUCGUGGCUCACCGUAAAGAAACUUAAUACAAAGGCUGCAUAAAAGGAUGAAGUUGCAAAACAAAUCAAAGUCCAAAAGAUACACGUAAUUUUAUGUAGUAAAUUAAGUGAGUAAACGAGGA